GCGACAGGACGGAAAGACCCCAUGGAGCUUUACUGUAGCUUGACAUUGGGUCUUGGUACUACAUGUACAGGAUAGGUGGGAGGCUUUGAAACCAGGACGCCAGUUUUGGCGGAGCCAUCCUUGGGAUACCACCCUUGUAGUACUGGGACUCUAACCAUAGGCCAUGAAUCUGGUCUUGGGACACUGUCAGGUGGGCAGUUUGACUGGGGCGGUCGCCUCCCAAAAGGUAACGGAGGCGCUCAAAGGUUCUCUCAGUACGGUCGGAAAUCGUACGUAGAGUGUAAAGGCAAAAGAGAGCUUGAUUGCAAGACAUACAGGUCGAGCAAGGAUGAAAAUCGGACUUAGUGAUCCGGUGGUUCUGCGUGGAAGGGCCAUCGCUCAACGGAUAAAAGCUACCCUGGGGAUAACAGGCUUAUCUCCCCCAAGAGUCCACAUCGACGGGGAGGUUUGGCACCUCGAUGUCGGCUCAUCACAUCCUGGGGCUGUAGUAGGUCCCAAGGGUUGGGCUGUUCGCCCAUUAAAGUGGUACGCGAGCUGGGUUCAGAACGUCGUGAGACAGUUCGGUCCCUAUCCGUCGCAGGCGUAGGAAAUUUGAGAAGACCUGUCCUUAGUACGAGAGGACCGGGAUGGACGUACCUCUGGUGUACCAGUUGUCCUGCCAAGGGCAUGGCUGGGUAGCUAUGUACGGAAUGGAUAAGCGCUGAAAGCAUCUAAGCGCGAAGCCAACUUCAAGAUAAGAUUUCCCACCGCAAGGGUAAGACCCCAGAAAGAGUAUCUGGUUG
rnacentral:rRNA from 1 species